rnacentral:rRNA from 1 species
UGGGGAAUUUUGGACAAUGGGCGCAAGCCUGAUCCAGCCAUGCUGCGUGAGUGAAGAAGGCCUUCGGGUUGUAAAGCUCUUUCGGCGGGGACGAAACGGUUCGUGACAACACCACGGACUAAUGACGGUACCCGCAUAAGAAGCACCGGCUAACUACGUGCCAGCAGCCGCGGUAAUACGUAGGGUGCAGGCGUUAAUCGGAAUUACUGGGCGUAAAGCGCACGUAGGUGGUUUUGUAAGUCGGAUGUGAAAGCCCUGGGCUCAACCUGGGAAUUGCAUUCGAUACUGCUUAACUAGAGUAUGGUAGAGGGAAGUGGAAUUUCCGGUGUAGCGGUGAAAUGCGUAGAUAUCGGAAGGAACACCAGUGGCGAAGGCGACUUCCUGGGCCAAUACUGACACUGAGGUGCGAAAGCGUGGGUAGCAAACAGGAUUAGAUACCCCCGUAGUCCCUGAGCGGGCUGGCAAGGCGCAU